UAAGCGCUGAAAGCAUCUAAGCGCGAAGCCGCCUCUAAGAUGAGAUCUCCCACCGGUUUACCGGGUAAGACCCCUGGUGAGAACACCAGGUUGAUAGGCCAGAAGUGGAAGCGCAGCGAUGCGCGUAGCUGACUGGUACUAAUCGGUCGAGGGCUUUC
rnacentral:rRNA from 1 species